rnacentral:rRNA from 1 species
AUUGAACGCUGGCGGCAGGCUUAACACAUGCAAGUCGAGCGGGGGAGGUUGCUUCGGUAACUGACCUAGCGGCGGACGGGUGAGUAAUGCUUAGGAAUCUGCCAUUUAGUGGGGGACAACAUUCCGAAAGGAAUGCUAAUACCGCAUACGUCCUACGGGAGAAAGCAGGGGAUCUUCGGACCUUGCGCUAAAUGAUGAGCCUAAGUCGGAUUAGCUAGUUGGUGGGGUAAAGGCCUACCAAGGCGACGAUCUGUAGCGGGUCUGAGAGGAUGGGCCGCAACCCCUGGACUUGGGCACGGCGCAGACUUCUACGGGGGGGAGCCAGGGGGGAUAUUUGAACAUGGGCGGAAGCCCGAUCCAGCCAUGCCGCGGGGGUUGAAGAGGCCUUUUUGGUGUUAAGCCAUUUAAGCGAGGAGGGAGCUACCAGUAUUAAUACUUCUGGGUAGUUGACGUUACUCGCAGAAUAAGCACCGGCUAACUCUGUUCCAGCCGCCGCAGUAA